rnacentral:rRNA from 1 species
UACGGGGGGAGCAAGCGUUGUUCGGAUUUACUGGGCGUAAAGGGCGCGUAGGCGGUCAGCACAAGUCAGUUGUGAAAUCUCCGGGCUUAACUCGGAAAGGUCAACUGAUACUAUGCGACUAAAGUGCGGAAGGGGCAACUGGAAUUCUCGGUGUAGCGGUGAAAUGCGUAGAUAUCGAGAGGAACACCUGCGGCGAAGGCGGGUUGCUGGGCCGACACUGACGCUGAUGCGCGAAAGCCAGGGGAGCGAACGGG